UGUAACAUGAAUCUAGUAGAAAAUGAGUAUCAUUUCUUACUCGUAUGUCCUAAAUACAAACUCCUCCGACAACAAUAUCUCAAACCUUAUUAUAACUCGUGGCCGAAUCUUAAUAAUUUGACAAUCUUUUGGCAUCAACAUCUGUUCACUGUAUUAACAACUUAGCGAAGUUUAUCUAUUUCGCAUUUUGCCUUAGAACAAAUGCUACAGCAAUAACACUUCAUUAUUGAUCAUUUAUCUGAAUGUAAAUCUUAGCGUAUUGAAAUAUGUAAAUUGUUACUAUGUCUUUCUGUAACAUGACACCUACUUUCUUGAAUGUUUGACCUCUCUGUAAAUAAUCUGUGUCUUCAUUGUUCCAUAUUGUACUUUAUUAUAUGGCUAUAAAUGUGCACAUGCCGUUUAAUGCUGAAUAAAGAUAACUUAUGUUAUGUUAUGUUAUUUCCGUCUUGAGUUACAGAUGUUAUUGGAAUAUGUGGAACUCUUGUGCUUCUAAGCCCUGUUGUUCGCGGCGCGGACGUCAAACUUGGAUAUUUUCCGUCUGACUAUUCUAUAGAGCCUCAAAGAUACGCUAAUCGAACAUGGAAGAAAAAUGUCCAGGACAUAGAGCUUCGAGAAGGUUCUUACAAAGAGGAAUGUGUUUCUGAAAAUGUAGCCAGCGAGAUAUCCAGUUAUCGGUCCAAAAUCUGCUGAUUUUAAUACAACAAAAUGCAUUUAUGUUGAUCUGGGCUCUGACUUAUAUUGCAAAACAUUAAUGGGACAGAUCCCGUAAAAGUUGUACUUUUAUUUGGCCAGGAUUCAUUUGUUCUUUCCGAAAGUAAAGAGAAAAAUGGCUUGUACCGUUUCCAAAACGUUCACCAACAACUGAAAGGAAUGUCGAGACAGAAUGUGACAUGCCUAGUUUCAAAUGCAGCCAUUGAAACACCUUACGAAGUACACGGCAAAUUUUGUAACAUAGAGAAAGGCAGUCUGCCCGUGCCAACUGUUCCUGAAUUCGUUUUUGGAGAAAGAUCAACAUCAAUAUGUGAAGUGCACAAUGCUGUUCCAGCACCGGAACUAGAACUACAUAUUGGCAAAGUCUUGCUAGUAAAUGUUCAACAAAUCGAUUAAUUUAACGGAUCUUCUAAUACGUUUACCAGCACAGCAACGGUGACAAAUAAUAACAAAAUAUGGAAUGGGAGAGAUAUGUGCUGCACCAAGAAAAGCAAACACGAUUUUGGUAUUACA